CUCUGCUUUAAUGCUCUUUUAAAUACAUUUUGACUUGCCUCCUCAGAUCGUGGGGGAUGCGGUGGGCUGGGGCUUCGUGGUGCGAGGCAGUAAGCCCUGCCACAUCCAGGCUGUCGACCCCAGUGGUCCCGCAGCUGCAGCUGGGAUGAAGGUGUGUCAGUUUGUGGUCUCGGUUAACGGGCUAAACGUGCUGUCUCUGGACUACAGGACAGUCAGUAACCUCAUCCUGACCGGGCCCAGGACCGUUGUCAUGGAAGUCAUGGAGGAAGCAGAUUACUGAAGAGGCAGGCUAUCAUGUGGCAGGGGGUGUGGCUGAGCAGAGUAGACCCAAGGCAGACUCUAAAGACACCAUAGAGAUAGAAGUGUCUUUAUGGAACUCUAUGGAAAACUCUCUCUGGGCUUUUAACUCUAUGGGAAACUCUCUCUGGGCUUCUAACUCUAUGGGAAACUCUCUCUGGGCUUCUAACUCUCUGGGGAACUCUCUCUGGGCUUCUAACUCUAUGGGAAACUCUCUGGGCUUCUAACUCUAUGGGAAACUCUCUCUGGGCUUCUAACUCUAUGGGAAACUCUCUCUGGGCUUCUAACUCUCUGGGAAACUCUCUCUGGGCUUCUAACUCUAUGGGAAACUCUCUCUGGGCUUCUAACUCUAUGGGAAACUCUCUCUGGGCUUCUAACUCUAUGGGAAACUCUCUCUGGGCUUCUAACUCUAUGGGAAACUCUCUCUGGGCUUCUAACUCUAUGGGAAACUCUCUCUGGGCUUCUAACUCUAUGGGAAACU